rnacentral:lncRNA from 1 species
AGGACCACGCGUGACCACCGCGAUCAAACGACGGCUACGGUCUGUGUUCGUAGGGAAGUGAAGUCAGACCUCUGCUGGAUGUCGUGUGUCCCCUAGGACUGCGUCCUCCCGCGCAGACAGAGCUCCAGAGCACCACCCCACUGUGCCUCAUUCAGGAAGUGCUGUGAUCAAGAAACCACUACUGCUGCUGGUGCCAGGACUGUGAUUCCCAUCAACAGCACUGAUGGCCUGCACCUCACCUCUGACACCCAUGGGACUCUUGUAUGUGGACACCAGAAAGUCUGCUAAUUCUGGAACAAAAACCUGAAAUGUCUCCAUGAGAUGGACUGCUGAAAGAAAUAGAAAACCACAGAGGUGAGGCCUCCACCGUACUUCCAAAUGCUGUAUUGCACAUGGAAUGCAUUUGAUUUGUCAGAUCAAUCACUUUCAGAAUCCAAGCUGCAAAGGAGUUUUGGAAACACAGACCAGAGUUUUCCAGCCUCUGUCAGACGAGAAGGCUAAAAAAGAUUGGAAUGGAUGAUGGGCAUUCAUAUUCACAUAAAUUCGACUUCUAUAUA